GUCAUGUAACAAAUCUAUUGUCUGAAAUUCAAUUUUUUGAUGAGGCACUAGAACUUGUAAACAAAUCACUUGAAUAUUAUCGAGAUCAAGCGAGCCAAGAAAACCCAAUCUCACAAAUGGGUAUUGCAUCUUCUUCCAACAUCCCACAACAUAGUACCCAACUAGGAGGCAUGAGCACACAAAUAUCAAGCCUCGAUGGAGCUGAUAUCUUUAUGAGUUCAUUAGAGAAAAGCAACUCAAGUACUGUUGCAUCUAAGGAGAAGGAGGUUGUUUUAAAAGAGAAAGAUUCAAAGGUUGAUGACAAGGAGCCAGAGAAUACUUCUAACAAAGAUUCCUAAGAAAAAGACUAGAAUAUCCAUGAUGCCUAAGUUUGUUAAAACUUUAAAUUAGAUAAAAAUAAAAGUAAUUGUAUGUUAUGAACAAUAAUAUAAAAAUGUAAUAGUUCAUGGUUGAAUGAAAAUAUACAUUUCAACUUUUAAAUGUUUUAUCAAUUAUGUUGUAACAAAUUAUAUA